CAAUAUAAUUAUCCAUUCAUCUUCUUCUAUCUCCAUCAACCUUUCUUCUUCUACUUGUUUGAAGACCACACAAAAGGAUGACAAUACACUAGGCAAGAAUUCAUCAAUUAACACUGUGUUAGGAGAAUCAAAGGGACCUCUUUUGCCUCAAGGGACUCCUUUGGUUUUUGAUGUAUAUCAUGGAUAUCAUCCUCAAGUUCCACUGUAAUCAACUUCUUCCCUUCAAUUUCAAGUGUAGCAAGAAUCUCACAUGACGUUAUGUUAUCACAAGUUUGAUAUUAUCUCUUUCUCUCGAUUCUUCUUGAUAUUUUUUUACGUAAAUAUUACUCAUAUUUUUUACAUUUUUCUCUUGUUAUUUUUAAGCAAAUAUUGCUCAUAAGUCAUAAUUCAUCAUAUUUUUUAUUGUUAUUCCUGAACAAGUAUUGUCCAUAUUUCAUCGUAUUCGAUUUUUCUCUCAUUCUCUAGCCAUGAAAUCAAUGUAGUAUUCUUUAGCAAUAAUAUCAUUUGAUCUUCUUUCCACUGUGUUGGUUCUUCAUGAACAACAUCAUUAUUUUUAAUUCAUUUUAUUCUAAGAAUUCAUUUU
rnacentral:lncRNA from 1 species